rnacentral:rRNA from 2 species
UUUCGGCUGACACUUACAGAUGGGCCCGCGGCGCAUUAGCUAGUUGGUGAGGUAACGGCUCACCAAGGCGACGAUGCGUAGCCGACCUGAGAGGGUGAUCGGCCACACUGGGACUGAGACACGGCCCAGACUCCUACGGGAGGCAGCAGUAGGGAAUCUUCCACAAUGGACGAAAGUCUGAUGGAGCAACGCCGCGUGAGCGAUGAAGGCCUUCGGGUCGUAAAGCUCUGUUGUUAGGGAAGAACAAGUACCGGAGUAACUGCCGGUACCUUGACGGUACCUAACCAGAAAGCCACGGCUAACUACGUGCCAGCAGCCGCGGUAAUACGUAGGUGGCAAGCGUUGUCCGGAAUUAUUGGGCGUAAAGCGCGCGCAGGCGGUCCUUUAAGUCUGAUGUGAAAGCCCACGGCUCAACCGUGGAGGGUCAUUGGAAACUGGGGGACUUGAGUGCAGAAGAGGAAAGCGGAAUUCCACGUGUAGCGGUGAAAUGCGUAGAGAUGUGGAGGAACACCAGUGGCGAAGG